UCGAGAAUCUUCCGCAAUGGACGCAAGUCUGACGGAGCGACGCCGCGUGCGGGAUGAAGGCCUUCGGGUUGUAAACCGCUUUCGGCAGGGUGGAAAUGCAUGAUGGCUAUCCUUCAUGCUUGACCUAACUGCAAAAGAAGUUCGGGCUAAGUACGUGCCAGCAGCCGCGGUAAUACGUACCGGACAAACGUUAUUCGGAAUCACUGGGCUUAAAGAGUACGUAGGCGGCCUGGUAGGUGAGGUGUGAAAUCCCACGGCUCAACCGUGGAACUGCGCUUCAAACCACCAGGCUUGAGGGAGACAGGGGUGAGCGGAACAGAUGGUGGAGCGGUGAAAUGCGUUGAUAUCAUCUGGAACACCGGUGGCGAAGGCGGCUCACUGGGUCUCUUCUGACGCUGAGGUACGAAAGCUAGGGUAGCGAACGGGAUUAGAUACCCCCGUAGUCC
rnacentral:rRNA from 1 species